rnacentral:rRNA from 1 species
GACGAACGCUGGCGGCGUGCUUAACACAUACACGUCGAACGAAGUGGCGAACGGGUGAGUAACGCGUAAUCAACCUGCCCUUCAGAGGGGGACAACAGUUGGAAAAGACUGAUAAUACCGCAUACUGAAGGAGGGGAUUGCGUCAGAUUAGCUAGUUGGCGGGUGAACGGCCCACAAAGGCGAUGAUCAGUAGCCGGUCUUGUGGAAUGAACGGCCACAUUGGUACUGAUACACGGCCCAGACUCCUACGGGAGGCAGCAGUUGGUAAUCUUCCGCAAUGGACGAAAGUCUGACGGAGCAAAGCCGCGUGAGUGAUGACGGCCUUCGGGUUGUAAAGCUCUGUUAAUCGGGACGCGGUACCGGAAUAGAAAGCCACGGCUAACUACGUGCCAGCAGCCGCGGUAAUUC